rnacentral:rRNA from 1 species
CGUAGGGUGCAAGCGUUAAUCGGAAUUACUGGGCGUAAAGCGUGCGCAGGCGGCUUUGCAAGACAGAUGUGAAAUCCCCGGGCUUAACCUGGGAACUGCAUUUGUGACUGCAUGGCUGGAGUGCGGCAGAGGGGGAUGGAAUUCCGCGUGUAGCAGUGAAAUGCGUAGAUAUGCGGAGGAACACCGAUGGCGAAGGCAAUCCCCUGGGCCUGCACUGACGCUCAUGCACGAAAGCGUGGGGAGCAAACAGGAUUAGAUACCCUGGUAGUCCACGCCCUAAACGAUGUCAACUGGUUGUUGGACGGCUCACUGUUCAGUAACGAAGCUAACGCGUGAAGUUGACCGCCUGGGGAGUACGGCCGCAAGGUUG